rnacentral:snoRNA from 1 species
GCAACGCUGGGUGUGACCCAAAAAGAAAAAAAGAAAAAGGAAAAAGGAGACUAGUGCUCUGCCCAUAAUGUACAGUCCCUUUCUGCAUGUUGAAGAAAAAGCCUGGCCUUGGGUCUGUACCUGCAUCUUUCUACAACUUCUCAGUCCUGUGGACAACGACUGAGGAGUGAAACCAUACAGGAAGCAUGG